UACGUUCCAUAGUUUAUGAGAAUAUCGUACCGCGUACCACGUUCCCGUACCACGUAUUCCGGGAACUUGGCUGCUAAGGUGUUAACACCUCCCACCAAAUUUCCCCUCGUCUCGCCAUUUCCGAUUCAAAUCCCCACCCCGGCGGCCGGCGCCCGCAACCUUGCAACGCCGCCGCCAGCCUUCCCAGCUACCGUCCAUGCGCCGUCUCUCAGCGGCGUCAUGAACAGCGCUGCAGCCAACAGCUGCCGCAAGCGCCGCUUUGCCGAUGCCCACGAGGGCGGCUCCUCACCUCGCCGCCGCCGCCUCACCCUCGUCCCCAACUUGUUCCAGGUCGUUCGGUCCUUCGCAAUCCGCACGCUCGCCACCGCCCCCCACAAGCGCCGCCACGACGACGCCACCUCCUCGUCUCGCCUCUGCCGUCGCCGUAGCCGCCACCGCCACCUCAGCCCCGUCCCGUUCCCCGCCCUCCGACCGCGUAGCCCCCGCGUCGCGCUAGUCACCACCCCGCGCCGCCACCGCAAGCUUCACGUCGACGACGCCCGCCACGCCCUCUUCACUCCCUGUCGCCACCGCAGCCGUAGCAGUCUGCUUCCCAGGGUCAGGCACUUCCCAGUCCUUGGUCCAUUCGCACUCCAUUUCCUCCUCAAGACCGGCACAUUAGCCCCUCGCCGUCGCCGGAAGCCUGCGGAGGUAGAUAUGGGCAACCUCUUCUCACAGCUACUGGGGAAGAGCAGCAGCGACGGUGUAUCAGAGGCGCACACGAAGCGGCUCGAUGGGUCGCCGGAAGUGGUGGAUCUCACAGUGGAGCCAGAGCUUGAAAAUAUCGAUGUCGUGGGGAGGCGAAUUGGCGACUGGAGCGUCCCUGCACUGGGGUCAUCAAGGUCGCUGGAGAAGAAGCCGAUGGUCCGCAAGGCACUUCAGUGGACGAAGAAGCGCGUUGGAAGAUUACAGGAGUCAGGAAUCGAGAAGCUCAGACUUGCUGAGCUGCCUGGUCCUCUGGACACUACACCCAAGGAGGAUCUAUCUGAACUAUUUACACCUCUAAGUGACAAAGAAGAAAGAGAAGUUAAUACUCUGUUGUAUAAUAGGAAUCACAGUGAUAAAGUCGUAGUGAUACAUGAGCCUUCUAACAUUGAGAUUACUAACGAUAAACUUCAAUGUUUGAGGCCUCGUGGGUGGUUGAAUGAUGAGGUCAUUAAUUUGUACAUUGAACUGUUAAAGGAGAGGGAACAAAGGGAACACAACAGGUUUUUGAAAUGCCAUUUCUUCAAUACAUUCUUCUACAAGAAGCUUACUUGUGGAAUAGCUGGUUAUGAUUAUCAGUCUGUUAGAAGAUGGACAAUGUUCAAGAGGUUGGGCUAUGAACUCGUCGAGUGUGAGAAAAUCUUUGUUCCAGUGCAUAGAAAUGUACAUUGGUGUUUGGUAGUUAUAAACAUGAAGGAUAAAACAUUGCAGUACCUUGAUUCUCUUGGAGGUUUGGGCCAUGAUGUACUGAAAGUACUGACUAGAUACAUCGUGGAUGAAUUGAAGGACAAGAGUAACUUAGAGGUAGACCCUAGUUCAUGGGUGGUAGUGUCAGAGUCUCUCCCCUUGCAGCAGAAUGGGUGGGACUGUGGCAUGUUUAUGCUUAAAUACAUUGAUUUCCAUAGCAGAGGUAUCAAACCAUGUUUCAGUCAGGAACACAUGAUGUAUUUUAGGAACCGAACAGCAAAAGAGAUCAUGACAUUAAGAGCUGACUGAAGAAUGACCAUUUCAUGGCCACCAUUCUUUGACAUUUUCUCAAGUCAGGUAUUUCUUUUUAAACAGUAGAGAUGUGAUUCUAAGGCUGUUGGUAUGAAUUCAAGUCGAUGGCACCAGACCUUUGUAGGUAUGUAUUUGUUAGGACCUGAUUUUGUUAGCGAAAAGUGAAAAGAGAGGUAAGGUAAAACAAUGCAUGGAUACAGAAAUGUAGGAGUUCAGAAAUAGUUUGACAAAAUGGUCACACCUAUGUAAUUGCAUUGGAACUAACUAAAGUUAGUACAAGGAACUGACACUUAGUUUUGUUUUGUUUAUUUGUUUGGAAUAAACAUAGCAUAUGUUGUUGUGAAAACUAAGCUAGUGAUUGCAUGACUCUGGUGUGAAUCUUCUUUAGCGUUUUAUGUAUUUGGGAAGUUUUUUGGUUGUGCAUGGAUAAACAAUUGUGAAUCUUGUUCCAUGAGUUUUGCGACCUAUAUAAACAUUCAGUGGUUAUGGGCUUAAAUCGGUCCAGAAAAAAGAUGUAACCGUGUGUUUGGUUGGGGGUUGAGUGAGUUGGGUUGGAUCCAACCCAGUUUUUGGGGACGGAGCCAACCCGUUUUAGUGUUUGGUUGAAGGAUUGGGGACAGAGCGGCUCCAUCCAGUGUUUGGAUGAAGGAAUUCAGUGUUUGGUGGGAGCCAACCCGGUUGGAGCGGCUCCGUCCGCCAGAUUUUGACGGACGGGUCCAACCCGCAUCUGAGAGGAAUAUUCCACCCUGGAGCCAACCCAACCCUCCCAUCCUCCAACCAAACAGCCACGAGAAUGGGUUCGCUCCGACCCGGCUCGCUCCGCUCUCCAACCAAACACACGGUAAGAUACUCUGUAGUCAGAGGAAGCAUAUUGGAACAACUUCAGACUUUUCAGGCUAAAAUCAUAAAGCUGUACCUAGAGGGCCACAUAUGUACACAUUUGCAACUCUGCACUUGAACAACCAACCACCACUACAGUUUCUUUCUCUAGCUAGCUAGGAGCACAAGACAGAACAUUGAAUGUUAAUAGAGGGUUGAUCACUUUAUUUCACAAAAACUUGUGACAAAGCUAACCAACAACAAUCUUAACAAAUCGAAUCAUCUUCCCGCCAGUAGAAGCUGACUACUUAGAUGCCUAAAAAUGCUCUGCACUGUGACUCCCAAUGCUCCUUAGCCAGGCGAACACGUUCAACUCGCUCCAAUUGCAUUCUCUUCUCCCAGUACUCUGGACAACUGUUGAGAGAUUGAAAAUUCAACACACUAGUAAUUGACUAAUAGUAAUACAUUGUCCUAGAAAGCUGUAAGGGCUUAUACUUACCUGUGACUCAACAGCAUGUUGAGUUCAUCCAGGUGCAUAGCGUCAGGAAAGACCCCUUGCUGAAACAGGAAUAGAAUGGUUGGCUAGAUGAUGCUCAAGUAUCUACUCAUUGAAGUAAGUGAUAAAGUAUUUACCUGUCGGCAUAGGGGACAUUUUGAUUUGUGAUCUGCAGACUUCAGCCCAUCGACAAUUGUCACAGAUGCAGCAGAACAGCAGCAUAAGUAGCAGAAUAUGUGGCCACAGGAAAGAGAGACUGGAUCAAACACUGGCAAAAUAGCACUGUAAUUGUAAGAAGUGCAACUCACCAAGCAUAUGGAACAUGUCAAGCUAAUAUCAACACGCAUGGAGUCAAAGAGGUUGCAUGAGAGCGUUGGUCUGUCGUCAUCGAAUACGAGGGAACAGUCGCCAAAGAGUUCCAUUGCAGCGGCAUUGUUCUUCUUGCUCCUCCUCAAGUUCAUGUAGAAAGCCAUCAGCUCACAGAGCCAUGGGGACUGAAGUAUCUCAAUGUGGAGGCUCUGAGCUUGAGCUUUGAAUUCUUGCCCUUGCUUUGAGUAAUGUAUCUGCAAAAGAGUUGUUUUUCAUAAAUUCUCUGUGAUUACCUAUUCGUAUCAAGUUACUAUUAUAAUCUGAAAUGCAAAUAUAUAUAGAUAUGCAUUUGAUUGAUGGAUUUA